AUCUCAAAUCAAGUAAGACUACCCGCUGAACUUAAGCAUAUCAAUAAGCGGAGGAAAAGAAACUAACAAGGAUUCCCCUAGUAACGGCGAGUGAAGCGGGAUGAGCUCAAAUUUAAAAUCUGGCUGGUUUACUAGUCCGAAUUGUAGUUUAAAGAAGCGUUUUCGGUGGCAGCCUGGGUAUAAAUCCUUUGGAACAGGGUAUCAUAGAGGGUGAGAAUCCCGUCUUUGACUCAGUGCAUGCUACUAUGUGAUACGUUUUCAAAGAGUCGAGUUGUUUGGGAAUGCAGCUCAAAAUGGGUGGUAAAUUUCAUCUAAGGCUAAAUAUUGGCGAGAGACCGAUAGCGAACAAGUACCGUGAGGGAAAGAUGAAAAGAACUUUGAAAAGAGAGUUAAACAGUGCGUGAAAUUGUUGAAAGGGAAACGCUUGACACCAGUCAUGCGAGCGGAAAAUCAGUCUUUUGCAGUGGGGAGUUGUGUGGGUUCGGACCGCAAGGCCGGCCUGUGCUGCAUCUCUGCUGUAAGUGAUGCACUUUUUCGUUUGCAGGCCAACAUCAGUUUCUUCUGCUGGACAAAACUCUUGAGAAGGUAGCAGCUUUGGCUGUGUUAUAGCUCUUGAGCGAUACAGUGGAGGGGACUGAGGUUUUCGCAGCGCGUGCUCUCGGGCAAGGCUGAUUGGGUGCUAUGGGAUCGUUCGGUGUACAAUGCAUGCAUUUUGCGCCGUGUCUUUUCUAUACUCGCUCAACUCGGCUCUC
rnacentral:rRNA from 1 species